CCUACGGGAGACAGCAGUGGGGGAUAUUGCACAAUGGGGGGAACCCUGAUGCAGCGACGCCGCGUGGGUGAAGAAGCGCCUCGGCGCGUAAAGCCCUGUCAGCAGGGAAGAAAAUGACGGUACCUGAAGCAGAAGCCCCGGCUAACUACGUGCCAGCAGCCGCGGUAAUACGUAGGGGGCAAGCGUUAUCCGGAUUUACUGGGUGUAAAGGGGGCGCAGACGGCGAUGCAAGCCAGGAGUGAAAGCCCGGGGCCCAACCCCGGGACUGCUCUUGGAACUGCGUGGCUGGAGUGCAGGAGGGGCCGGCGGAAUUCCGGGUGGAGCGGGGAAAUGCGUAGAUAUCAGGAGGAACACCGGUGGCGAGGGCGGCCUGCUGGACUGCAACUGACGUUGAGGCCCGAAAGCGUGGGGAGCAAACAGGAUUAGAUACCCCAGUAGUC
rnacentral:rRNA from 1 species